AUAUCACAAUCAGGUUGUGCAAGUAGAUGUCUGCAGAUGACAAACAAUGAGGGGAGUGAAUGACAUACAUUUCAUUCAAUAGGGAAAGAAGAGGGAAAGAGGAGAAAUGGAAAUUAGAGGAUAAAUUAAGGGCUGUAUUAGAGCAAGCUUGUCCCUACUGGCUCCAUCUAUGAUUCUAUGAAACCUGAGUCUAUGCUGAUAUUUGCUUGAGAUCGAAUGCCUUUAUCUGAUUCUGGGAGAGUCUGAGAGAGCAACAGAGGCUGUCCUGAAGGGAGAGAAAGGGUUAAAAUAUAGGCAACGAGUACAUAAAGAGAUGUGUUCAAGAGGGAAUCAAGGAAAUCAGCGUACCUGCGCAGCCUGGGAUUAGAGCUCAUUCCCUCUAGUGCUCUCCUCAAACCUUUAUCUUCUCUCUGAUCCAAUAAUGAGAAAAAAAGUACUGCAAGUGUCUUCUGCAAUGAAAGAGAAAGAAAAUACCCCCAAAAGACAGGCCGUCUGCUGGAAAUAUCAUCUAAAUGGAAAACUUGUCCUGAAAAUUGUGGGUAAGGACAGAGGAAAUAGAGUGACAAGAAGGCAAAGGAACAUUUAAGGUUUUGCAAGAUAAAAGGGACUCAGCUGAGAUUUUUAAGUUUAAUUUUUAUUUUCUGAGUAUUAUCUGCAGAUUGGCAGAUGGGUUUAAAUGGCUGCUCUAGGCACAAGUAAAUCUCAUGAUAUAUCCCCAUGGAGUUUUCAUUUUUUAAAAUCUGGAAAGGCCAUAUUCCCCGACCACAGCAAUACUUCUUUUUUUCAGAAACUAAAUAUUUUAAGGAGAUCCUAGAUUUAGACUUUUAAGGAAUCUUAGAGGGCAUCAGAGUCAGCCUCCUCAUUUUAUAGCUAUAGAAACUGAGGUUCAGAAAGGAAGAAAACAAACAUUGAUUAAGGGUCUAUUAUGUGCCAGGUACUAUGUUAAUGAUAUUUACCAAUAUGAUUUCCUUUUAUCCUCACAACAAUCCUGGGAGAUAGCUCCUAUUAUUAAUCCACAUUUUACAGUUAAGGUAAGGAGGCAAAAAAAGAGGUGAAGUGGCUUGCUCAGG
rnacentral:lncRNA from 1 species